GACGAACGCUGGCGGCGUGCUUAACACAUGCAAGUCGAACGGAAAGGCCCUGCUUUUGUGGGGUGCUCGAGUGGCGAACGGGUGAGUAACACGUGAGUAACCUGCCCUUGACUUUGGGAUAACUUCAGGAAACUGGGGCUAAUACCGGAUAUGAGCUCCUUCUGCAUGGUGGUGGUUGGAAAGUUUCGGCGGUUGGGGAUGGACUCGCGGCUUAUCAGCUUGUUGGUGGGGUAGUGGCUUACCAAGGCUUUGACGGGUAGCCGGCCUGAGAGGGUGACCGGCCACAUUGGGACUGAGAUACGGCCCAGACUCAUACGGGAGGCAGCAGUGGGGAAUAUUGCACAAUGGGCGGAAGCCUGAUGCAGCAACGCCGCGUGCGGGAUGACGGCCUGCGGGUUGUAAACCGCUUUCGCCUGUGACGAAGCGUGAGUGACGGUAAUGGGUAAAGAAGCACCGGCUAACUACGUG
rnacentral:rRNA from 1 species